AAUGCUUUGAUCAUGUUUUGAAAAAUUACCAUGGGUGCAGAAAUAAAAAUGUAACAACAUACAAAAUGUGUGACUCAGAUAUCUGAAUACAAUUAUUUAAAAUUCUCACUUUAGUUAAUAUUCCUGUAAGUGUUUAGAUUAUUUAGAGCAUGCAUAACUGCAUCAAUCACUAAGUGAAGAGUGCAUUAGAACACCUAGAAAUUGAGAAUAAAUAGCUCCCCCACAAAACUUGGUACUUAAACAAUGAGACUUGAGAAAGUGCAGAUAUGUCUGAUAUGUCUGAUGUUUGAGAGUUAAAAAUCACUAGCUCAAAGUAGAGUUUUAGUUCACCAGUCAGCAAUGCAUUGCACUGGCCGGUAUAGAUUGCGACCAAACAGAAUCCCAACCACAAAAAUUAGCAUUUGAAAGAGUUUUACAGAAAGAAUAUGAGUAGUCUAUUUGCUGUGUGUAAAAAAAAAUUUUUUGUCAAUAAAAGUGCUAAAUGUGACAUAUAACUAAAACUAGCAUGUCUUAAAGAACAACAUCCAGGGCCGACGCAUCCAAAAGGUGGCACAGGCAGCCACCUUAGGGUGAGCUGGCCCGGGUGGCUCAAGAUCUAUUUGACUGGUAGGAGGAGAGUGCACAGCACAGCGCUUCCCAUCCAGCCAGUCACUCCUUGUGGCGUCAUGGAGCAGACCAUGGGAAUGUAGCCUCUGUAUCCUCUACCCAGUCUGAGAGAAAGUGUCAGGAGAGCCAGGAGUUCCUAAGCAGGAGGUUCCAUUAGCACUCCUCGGAUAAGCCAAUGAGCUAAGCCCUGCACGGCUGAGGAAAACUAACCAAAUUCCUGCUUAGGAACUUCCUGCUCUCAGGUGGUGAGUGGUGUCCAGCAGACACCCGGUAAGGUGUUAAACAGGUCAAAAAAUGUUUGAUGGUGGAGGGAGCAACAGAGAACUACAGUUGUAGUUGGUAUGGUGCUUGUGUUUAUAGUUUCCUUAAAAAUGUAAUCUAACUUAAAAUCACACUUUAAAAAAAAAAAAUACAUAUAUAUUUUCUUCAUCUGGUAGUAAAAACGAAUUUAUAUGCCAAGGCUUCAUUCAGUCCUUCUAUAUCAGUCCACCUCUUUGCUAACCAUACAAGAACCCAAGAGGCUCACACAUUAAACAACUCCAUUCUAGCAGCCAAGCCUCUGUGCACUUCAUAGGGCACAGCUGCAGGUUGCAACAACACCCUAUAAUAUCCCAUUACUUCAAAUACUUGGCUUUAGCUAAAUAAAUGUAUGUACUGUAAUGUAGGCUUAUGGAUACUCAGAGGCAAUAUGUUCACAUUACGGUGAGAGUUUGCAUUUCCUCAAAUGCCAUUAGGUUUCCUAACCCUGGACAGCAAAUUUAACCUUAUAUGCCAACUGGUUUAUAGUAUUGAAUGAUAAAAGAUAGAUAUAUCAUUUCAAUCUUUUUAUACCCAAACAUUUCUAUAAAGGUGAAAUUGUUAAAUAAAAAUAAAUAGAAUUCUGUGAAUUGAUAGAAUUUUUUUUAUUUUGCAUAACCCUGAAAAGUGAGCUAUACGUCAUUUCUGGUGUUCCUAAGAUUAUGGGCUAAUGACUAAUCUCCUAUUUUGAAUAAAUGUUCUCUUUUUUAACAAAAAACUUCAUAGUGAGGAGAUUUUUUGGUUUUGCUUUUUUCAUUUUCAUGGUUUAUAAAAUGUCACACAGACUGGACUCUCCAUAUCCCAUGUAUUUCAGUAAUAACAUAUUCUUACAGUAAUCAAGCAAGUCUAGAGUCUCUCAAGUAUCAGCCUCUAUUUGCAACUGCCCGCAUUCAUUCAGUCCAUCUUCCCUUAUUGACACAGGUAUUACCUAAAGUGAGAUUUUUUGGUGAAUUCAAAAGAAAUUCAAAUUUAAGGCCAAAACAGCAGAACUGAAAACACAUCUGACUUGGAACAUUUUUGUAUUCAUCUCUUCCGGCCUAAAUGUUGAAAUUCACUUUGAAUUCAAUGCACACACACAUGCAUGUAUAAUGAGAAUCUGUAACCCCUACGAUUAGCCUGUCUUGUAAGAGCUUUACUUUUGGACCAUUGAGGUCUCGGAUAUAGCGUCUGUUUCAUUCCCGAGGCUAUUUUGUUCAUUGACACGUUGUGACUUUUAAAUUUGAUCUGCUUUCAUGAAUGUAUAUUCAUUGUGUCAUUAGACACUAAACUACGAUAGCCAUUACUGAUAAUUUAUGUAUUGCCUUUAACAAAAGACUGGAUGUUAAUGAUUUCAAGAGACUGUAAUAGUUUAAUGAACUGACUUAUCUCAAUUUUUGUUUAUAGUGUAAUCUAUUUACUAAGCUUUAUAUGUCCAGUUUAAAAUGUAUUCAUGUGUAUAGACCAUUCUUUGUUGUUGAUUUUUUUUCAAAGUUUUUAAACUAUUACAUGCAUUUAUUGUAUUUUAUACAUUUUACUUUAGUCAAUCAUAUUGCACCCCAAGAAUUAAACUUUUUUUUUUGGUCGUAUGUGGGGUUGGCUUGGCCAAAUGAUGAUUCAGAAACCAAAUCCGAAGAACCUACCAAAAAUGGCCAAUCAGUGUGUGGAAAAAUAUAGAACUGAUAUAAGAUUACGUAUGUAUUUUGCUGUACAUUAAUAAGAGUAUUUUCCAGCCAUUUGGUUCACACAUGAAUUGAGAAAAAGUAACCAAUAGAGUCAAAACUAGAGUAGCAGAAAAAAAAAUAUUUACAUAUCUCUAUAUAUUAUUUUUUUUUUUUUUAAUGCCCACCCUUGCUUUCCUUCUAUUGCUCACUUCUUACUUGAUUUGUGAAUAAAAUCAACAUUUUGUAACUAUCCCCCAGCUGCCAAUCAUCUUUUUUUCACAUCAGACAUAUUUUUUUCUGACCACAGGCAGAAUUUAGUAUGUUGAUUCACCCCUGCCGCCCCCUCCCCCCCCAAAAACAAUUAUCUUGGGCAUUGUGUGUUUUGGAUAAUCCAUAAUUCGGAUACAUUUCAACUCAGAAUUCUAUCAAACACCCAGUCAGCCACAUUAAGGCUGAAUUGCAGUCCAAUCAGAAGCAAAUCUCAAAAUCUAUAUUUCAUAAUGACAAGCUUGCCAGGGUUGCUGAAUACCUCAUACAUUAUACUGAAGUCCCUCCCAUUUAGGAGCGGAGCCUUGUACUGGGUUAAUUAACCCGGUCUUGGCCAGCACCUGGUGAGUUUCUUGAGGUCCAUGAGUGCGUGUAGUGUAGAUGAUGUAAAGUGCAGCAGGAUAUGACAUUAUAAUCCAGCACUCUGCACACAGUGCUGGUCAUAGGACAAUACUGACAUAUGUCUGUAACAGUUCAAGCACAGAUCUUGGCUUUUUUUGUAGUUUUGGAUUCAUUUCGUAGGGGACCUCUAAAAUAUUACCCAUUUCUAGUGUGGCAGGGACUAUAUUAAUAUUAUAUUAAUAUGUAAUGUGUCUUCUACGACUACUUAUGUUUAGGUUAGUCUUGUUUUUGCCAUGCAGUGUCAUAGGAAGAUAUAAAGAUUUAUUUCUGUUAGAAGAUUAAGGCUGUUGAUGUUUACCAAC